GUCCACGCCGUAACGAUGAAUGCUAGGUGUUGGCCCUUACGGGGUCAGUGCCGAAGUUAACACAUUAAGCAUUCCACCUGGGAGUACGUUCGCAAGAAUGAAACUCAAAGGAAUUGACGGGACCCGCACAAGCGGUGGAGCAUGUGGUUUAAUUCGAAGCAACGCGAAGAACCUUACCAAACUUGACAUCCCAAUGCCCGGUCCUUAAUCGGAUCCUUCUAAGUUACUUAGACAUUGGUGACAGGUGGUGCAUGGUUGUCGU
rnacentral:rRNA from 1 species